UACGUAGGGACCGAGCGUUGUCCGGAAUCAUUGGGCGUAAAGAGCGUGUAGGCGGCUUGCUAAGUCUUGCGUGAAAUCUCGGGGCUCAACCCCGAGCGGUCGUGGGAAACUGGCAGGCUAGAGUGCGGGAGAGGAGAAUGGAAUUCCUGGUGUAGCGGUGAAAUGCGCAGAUAUCAGGAAGAACACCCGUGGCGAAGGCGGUUCUCUGGGACGGUACUGACGCUGAGACGCGAAAGCGUGGGGAGCGAACAGG
rnacentral:rRNA from 1 species